AUUGAACGCUGGCGGCAUGCUUUACACAUGCAAGUCGAACGGCAGCGCGGGCUUCGGCCUGGCGGCGAGUGGCGAACGGGUGAGUAAUGCAUCGGAACGUGCCCAGUAGUGGGGGAUAGCCCGGCGAAAGCCGGAUUAAUACCGCAUACGACCUGGGGGUGAAAGCGGGGGACCGAAAGGCCUCGCGCUAUUGGAGCGGCCGAUGUCGGAUUAGCUAGUUGGUGGGGUAAAGGCUUACCAAGGCGACGAUCCGUAGCUGGUCUGAGAGGACGACCAGCCACACUGGGACUGAGACACGGCCCAGACUCCUACGGGAGGCAGCAGUGGGGAAUUUUGGACAAUGGGGGCAACCCUGAUCCAGCCAUGCCGCGUGCGGGAAGAAGGCCUUCGGGUUGUAAACCGCUUUUGUUCGGGAAGAAAUCCUCUGGGCUAAUACCCCGGGGGGAUGACGGUACCGGAAGAAUAAGCACCGGCUAACUACGUG
rnacentral:rRNA from 1 species